UUGGUUUGAGUCAUUUAGAAGUAGAUUGAGGUUGGAUUUGGUUUGAGUCAUUUAGAAGUAGAUUGAGGUUGGAUUUGGUUUGAGUCAUUUAGAAGUAGAUUGAGGUUGGAUUUGGUUUGAGUCAUUUAGAAGUAGAUUGAGGUUGGAUUUGGUUUGAGUCAUUUAGAAGUAGAUUGAGGUUGGAUUUGGUUUGAGUCAUUUAGAAGUAGAUUGAGGUUGGAUUUGGUUUGAGUCAUUUAGAAGUAGAUUGAGGUUGGAUUUGGUUUGAGUCAUUUAGAAGUAGAUUGAGGUUGGAUUUGGUUUGAGUCAUUUAGAAGUAGAUUGAGGUUGGAUUUGGUUUGAGUCAUUUAGAAGUAGAUUGAGGUUGGAUUUGGUUUGAGUCAUUUAGAAGUAGAUUGAGUUUGUUUCCCCAACAUGUGUUUGACACCCCUGCUCUAGAGAGAGAAGCCCCUGUUAUGAUCCUGAAACACUCUGAUCAAUCUAACAUCAAAUCAAAUGUAUUUAUAAAGCCCUUCUUAGAUCAGCUGAUAUCUCAAAGUGCUGUACAGAAACCCAGCCUAAAACCCCAAACAGCAAGC